rnacentral:rRNA from 1 species
UGGGGAAUAUUGCACAAUGGGCGCAAGCCUGAUGCAGCCAUGCCGCGUGUAUGAAGAAGGCCUUCGGGUUGUAAAGUACUUUCAGUCGGGAGGAAGGUGGUAAGGUUAAUAACCUUAUCAAUUGACGUUACCGACAGAAGAAACACCGGCUAACUCCGUGCCAGCAGCCGCGGUAAUACGGAGGGUGCAAGCGUUAAUCGGAAUUACUGGGCGUAAAGCGCACGCAGGCGGUUGAUUGAGUCAGAUGUGAAAUCCCCGGGCUUAACCCGGGAAUUGCAUCUGAUACUGGUCAGCUAGAGUCUUGUAGAGGGGGGUAGAAUUCCAUGUGUAGCGGUGAAAUGCGUAGAGAUGUGGAGGAAUACCGGUGGCGAAGGCGGCCCCCUGGACAAAGACUGACGCUCAGGUGCGAAAGCGUGGGGAGCAAACAGG